GGGCGCCGCAGCGGACCUGCGGCUGCGAGGACGGGGCGGGCCGGGACCCGGGGGCGGCGGGGACGGGCGAGGACGGACGGGGACACGUCCCGCCCCGAGGGAACCGCCCGAGGCUGCGACCCAGCACAGGGCCCGGGGGCUGCCCCGCGAGGAAGCCCAGGUUUAUGCGGAAGGGCCAGCAUCCUGAGCCCCACCUGCAGGCCCUGGGCGCUUUCCUCCUGGCAGCUGUGCCCCCACCCGACCGGACCGCUCCCUGCAACCAGAGAGCCCUCACACCAGCAACACCCCCCAGCCUGCUCCCUCCUCGUGUGCGCGAAACUCAUGGCACUGGCUUGACGGCUUUCUCUGAAACCCUCUGAUUCCGCCUGGCCCAUCCACACUGUCCCUUCCCGGCCAGGGCUCAUCUCCUAUGCCUGGACCAAACAGCGUAGUCUCCAGUCUCCCUGAUCUCCCCACACGUGGCCCCACCCAUCCUCUGAAGCAGCCCCAGGAGGCAGCAGUGACUUCACACUUCUAGUGCCCGGCCCUCCCGGCCCUCCUCUCUGGGCUUGCUUGCCAGGGUCCUCCCAACCUGACUGCUGCCUCCCACCUCCUCUCCGCCCCUGGAGCUCUCCAGCCGCAGCCGCGGGGCCUGCUUGGGAUUCUCCUCUGCUGGCAUCAUCCCUGCCUGCCUCAGCCUUCCCAGGCCCAAUCCUGCCCGAUCUCACCUCUUCCCGCCCAGCCACCUGGUCGGGUCCCGACCAGCAUCUGCCUUCAAACCUGGAGUCCUUCCCUGAGUGCUUGCGGUGCACUGUGAGGAAGGAAAUCAAUGUAAAGGAUUAUGACCCACAUUUUUUAAAAAUAAAAAGAUUAAGGAGAACAGCAUAGAGUAGAAGUGGUCAUCGCACACUUCUGCAAAACUUUUGUUUCUCAGGUGGAUGGAGGAG
rnacentral:lncRNA from 1 species